rnacentral:rRNA from 1 species
UACGGAGGGUGCGAGCGUUGUCCGGAAUCACUGGGCGUAAAGGGCGCGUAGGCGGCCUGGUAAGUAGGGGGUGAAAUCCUGCGGCUUAACCGCAGGGCUGCCUUCUAAACUGUCAGGCUGGAGCACAGUAGAGGCAGGUGGAAUUCCCGGUGUAGCGGUGGAAUGCGUAGAGAUCGGGAAGAACAUCGGUGGCGAAGGCGGCCUGCUGGGCUGUUGCUGACGCUGAGGCGCGACAGCGUGGGGAGCAAACAGG